rnacentral:rRNA from 1 species
CGAGUGAACCGGGAUGAGCUCAAAUUUGAAAUCUGGCGUCUUUCAGGCGUCCGAGUUGUAAUCUAUAGAGGCGUUUUCCGCGCCGGACCGCGUCCAAGUCUCUUGGAAUAGAGUAUCAAAGAGGGUGACAAUCCCGUACUUGACGCGACAACCGGUGCUCUGUGAUACGUUCUCAAUGAGUCGAGUUGUUUGGGAAUGCAGCUCUAAAUGGGUGGUAAAUUCCAUCUAAGGCUAAAUAUUGGCGAGAGACCGAUAGCGAACAAGUACCGUGAGGGAAAGAUGAAAAGCACUUUGGAAAGAGAGUUAAACAGCACGUGAAAUUGUUAAAAGGGAAACGAUUGAAGUCAGUCGUGUGAGGGGUAUUCAGCCGUCUCUGGCGGUGUAUUUGCCUCUCACGGGUCAACAUCAGUUUGAUCCGGUAGAAAAAGGCGGGAGGAAGGUGGCACCCUCGGGUGUGUUAUAGCCUCCUGUCAUAUGUGCCGGACCAGACUGAGGAACGCAGCUUGCAGCAAUGCCGGGAUUCGUCCACGUACAAGCUUAGG